ensembl:piRNA 21ur-14784 ncRNA
UGGAGAUUCCCAAUUAAAAAA